rnacentral:rRNA from 1 species
UACGUAGGGGGCUAGCGUUGUCCGGAUUUAUUGGGCGUAAAGAGCGUGUAGGCGGCCAGGUAGGUCCGCUGUGAAAGUCCGAGGCUCAACCUCGGAAUGUCGGCGGAAACCCUCUGGCUAGAGUCCGGAAGAGGAGAGUGGAAUUCCCGGUGUAGCGGUGAAAUGCGCAGAUAUCGGGAAGAACACCCGUGGCGAAGGCGGGUCUCUGGGCCGUAACUGACGCUGAGGAGCGAAAGCGUGGGGAGCGAACAGG